rnacentral:rRNA from 1 species
ACGAACGCUGGCGGUGUGCCUUAUGCAUGCAAGUCAAACGGGUCCGCCGAAAGGCGGAUCAGUGGCAAACGGCUGAGUAACGCGUGAGCAACCAACCUUCUAGUGGGGGAUAAGCAGCCGAAAGGCGGUCUAAUACCGCAUCCGCUGUCCAGGCCCUCGGGCGUGGACAGGAAAGCCGCAAGGCGCUAGAAGACGGGCUCGCGUCCUAUCAGGUAGUUGGCGGGGUAACGGCCCACCAAGCCGAAGACGGGUAGCUGGUCUGAGAGGACGGCCAGCCAGACGGGGACUGAGACACGGCCCCGACUCCUACGGGAGGCAGCAGCAGGGAAUCUUGCGCAAUGGGCGAAAGCCUGACGCAGCGACACCGCGUGAGGGAUGAAGGCCUUCGGGUCGUAAACCUCUUUUCUGGGGGACGAGGAAGGACGGUACUCCAGGAAUAAGCCUCGGCUAACUACGU